ensembl:snRNA U2 U2 spliceosomal RNA
ACAGCUGAUUCUGUGCAAAUGUUGAUGGUGGGAAACACAUAAGGCCAUUAAAUUGAUUUUUGAAAAAGGGGGAUGGAAUAAGAGCUUGCUCUGUCCACCCCAUGCAUUGACCUGGUAUUGCAGUGCCUCUGGGAAUGAUGCAUCCAAA